AGCUUUGCGAGGCUUAUCAAGAAGGACUAUAUCACAUAAGGAUGAAUUGCUACCCUCCUUGUCCUCAGCCAGAACAAGUUAUGGGGAUAACUCCACUUGCUGAUAACUCUGAAUCACUCUCUUGCUUGAGGGGGGCAACACACAGGGAUGGCAGGUUCUGAAGGAUGGUAGUGGGGUAUUUGUUGAACCAAUACAUGGUGCUAUUGUUGUAAACACGGGACAUAUUACUGAGAUAAUAAGCAAUGGGGUAUACAGAGCACCAGAUCACAGAGCAGUAGCAAACAAAUCAAAGGAGAGGCUGUCCAUCGUUACCUUCUGCUAUCCCACAUCAUCGAAGAACUUACCACGUCUGGAAGUGAACCUCUUUACAACACCCUCACCGUGGAAGAGUAUUUUCAUUCUUUUUACAAUCGAAAGCUUGAAGUUUCUGUUGGCGUGAGCUGUCAUUGAGAAAUUAUAGUAUCAGUAGAGAAAUUAUAGGAAUCCCCUGAUUUAAGGGCAAAACUUUAUUCUUGCCUUUAAACGUGUAUCGUAAAAAAUAUAAUAGAUUUUUGUGCAUUAAUAAACUUCCAAUCUCUGUAAAGAACGAUUGUAUAGAAUAUAUAUUUUCCAAAUUCUGUCA